rnacentral:rRNA from 1 species
CAAUAGCGUAUAUUAAUGUUGUUGCAGUUAAAAGCUCGUAGUUGGAUUCCUGGCACGGGUAGCGGUCCGCUUGCAAAGGUGCAGCACUGCGCGGCCUCGGCCAUCCUUGGGAAGAGCGGUCCUGGCAUUCAGUUGUCGGGGUCGGGAUUCCCGACGUUUACUGUGAAAAUCAGAGUGUUCACGCAGGCUUACGCCUUGAAUACAUUAGCAUGGAAUAAUGAGAUAGGACCUUGGCGGUCUAUUUUGUUGGUUUGCACGCCGAGGUAAUGAUUAAAGGGACGGUGGGGUUCUUCGUAUUCAAUUGUCAGAGGUGAAAUUCUUGGAUUUAUGGAAGACGAACUGCUGCGAAAGCGUCGAACAAGGACGUUCUCAUUAAUCAAGAACGAAAGUUAGGGGGAUUC